rnacentral:rRNA from 1 species
UACGUAGGCAGCAAGCGUUGUUCGGAGUUACUGGGCGUAAAGAGUAUGUAGGCGGUUGCUUAAGUUUGGUGUGAAAUCUCCCGGCUUAACUGGGAGGGUGCGCCGAAAACUGAGCGGCUGGAGUGCCGGAGAGGAACGCGGAAUUCCUGGUGUAGCGGUGAAAUGCGUAGAUAUCAGGAGGAACACCAGUGGUGUAGACGGCGUUCUGGACGGUUACUGACGCUGAGAUACGAAAGCGUGGGGGAGCAAACAGG